CCUUGGUGGCUGCAGUGAGGAAUAUCGGUCAAUGGGCGCGAGCCUGAACCAGCCAAGUCGCGUGAGGGAAGACGGCCCUACGGGUUGUAAACCUCUUUUUCUGGGGAGCAACGGGCGCCACUUGUGGCUCCACUGAGAGUACCCGUAGAAAAAGCAUCGGCUAACUCCGUGCCAGCAGCCGCGGUAAUACGGAGGAUGCGAGCGUUAUCCGGAUUUAUUGGGUUUAAAGGGUGCGUAGGCGGAGCGUUAAGUCAAUGGUCAAAUUGAGUGGUUCAACCCCUUCCCGCCAUUGAAACUGGCGCUCUUGAGUGGAAGAGAAGUAGGCGGAAUGCGUGGUGUAGCGGUGAAAUGCAUAGAUAUCACGCAGAACCCCGAUUGCGAAGGCAGCAUGCCGGCUUCCUACUGACGCUGAAGCACGAAAGCGUGGGGAUCGAACAGGAUUAGAUACCCCUGUAGUC
rnacentral:rRNA from 1 species